GGGUGGUUAGCAAAGCGGUUAUGCACCCGGCUUUUAACCGGUACCAGAUAGGUUCAACUCCUAUACCACCCAC
rnacentral:tRNA from 1 species